ACGGAAGGCAGCAGUGGGGAAUAUUGCACAAUGGGCGAAAGCCUGAUGCAGCGACGCCGCGUGAGCGAUGAAGUAUUUCGGUAUGUAAAGCUCUAUCAGCAGGGAAGAUAAUGACGGUACCUGACUAAGAAGCACCGGCUAAAUACGUGCCAGCAGCCGCGGUAAUACGUAUGGUGCAAGCGUUAUCCGGAUUUACUGGGUGUAAAGGGUGUGUAGGUGGUAUGGCAAGUCAGAAGUGAAAACUAUGGGCUCAACCCAUAGACUGCUUUUGAAACUGUCAAACUAGAGUGCAGGAGAGGAAAGAAGAAUUCCUAGUGUAGCGGUGAAAUGCGUAGAUAUUAGGAGGAAUACCAGUGGCGAAGGCGUCUUUCUGGACUGUUACUGACACUGAGGCACGAAAGCGUGGGGAGCAAACAGGAUUAGAUACCCUGGUA
rnacentral:rRNA from 1 species